GACGAACGCUGGCGGCGUGCCUAAUACAUGCAAGUUGAGCGCUGAAGGUUGGUACUUGUACCAACUGGAUGAGCAGCGAACGGGUGAGUAACGCGUGGGGAAUCUGCCUUUGAGCGGGGGACAACAUUUGGAAACGAAUGCUAAUACCGCAUAAAAACUUUAAACACAAGUUUUAAGUUUGAAAGAUGCAAUUGCAUCACUCAAAGAUGAUCCCGCGUUGUAUUAGCUAGUUGGUGAGGUAAAGGCUCACCAAGGCGAUGAUACAUAGCCGACCUGAGAGGGUGAUCGGCCACAUUGGGACUGAGACACGGCCCAAACUCCUACGGGAGGCAGCAGUAGGGAAUCUUCGGCAAUGGACGAAAGUCUGACCGAGCAACGCCGCGUGAGUGAAGAAGGUUUUCGGAUCGUAAAACUCUGUUGGUA
rnacentral:rRNA from 1 species